AGCAGCCGCGGUAAUUCCAGCUCCAAUAGCGUAUAUUAAAGUUGUUGCAGUUAAAAAGCUCGUAGUUGAACUUCGGAAUUUGCCCAUUGGUCAGGCUUAACUGUCUGCACUGGUGUGACGAGUUCCUACCUUCUGAGGAAUCUCCAUGUCAUUCAGUUGGUGUGGGGGGAAAUCAGGACUGUUACUUUGAAAAAUUAGAGUGUUUAAAGCAGGCGUCCGUCUGAAUACAUUAGCAUGGAAUAAUAAAAUAGGACGGUUUGGUUCUAUUUUGUUGGUUUCUAGGAUCACCGUAAUGAUUAAUAGGGAUAGUUGGGGGCAUUAGUAUUCAAUUGUCAGAGGUGAAAUUCUUGGAUUUAUUGAAGACUAACUACUGCGAAAGCAUUUGCCAAGGAUGUUUUCAUUAAUCAAGAACGAAAGUUAGGGGAUCGAAGACGAUCAGAUACCGUCGUAGUCUUAACCAUAAACU
rnacentral:rRNA from 1 species